rnacentral:lncRNA from 1 species
UUUUUCCCCAUAUGGCUCAACUGACACCAAGUAGCUUUCUCCUUUAUUAAAAGCAUCUUUAUUCAGUCACAGUAGUUUUUUGGAAGUGACAGCUGAAUUAUGCAUUUGAUCCAGAAUUAAGAGAUACAUUUUGCUUUCUUUUUAGCCUUAUAUGGUUAGACAUCCAAAAAAGGAGGAGGGAGAUUGUAAAGGGUAUUAUAACUAUUUCUGUUUCUUUAACAUAAAGGUUUAAUAUUACAUAGUUCUUUCCAAGAAGCUGACCAGAAAUAAAAUGUAACCUCUUGUAGAAGUGGGAAGAGAAAACUAGAGGCAUGAGAUUAAAAAAUUAUGUAGGUAGUUUAAAGCUACUCAUAGAAUUGUGUGCACCCACUGAGUGAAUCUAGAAGAGACAGAGAGAGAAAAAAAAGGGGGAGUGGGAUUUGAUGACAUCUAAGAUAAAGGGCUCCAGUUCCAGUGCAGACUAGGAGACUUUGCAAAAUUUUUUUAAUAAACUUGCUAAUGGAGCACAUUCUUACAUAAGGACUUGAGACAUUAUCUAAACAGCCUGACUGAAAGAUGCCUGCUCACUUGUUAGACAUCUAUGACAUUACUGAGAAGAUUAAUCUACAGUUCUAGAAGUAAAGACCGAUUAGCCCGUGCAGGUGUAUGAAGAAUGACACAUCAGGCAAAAGGUUCUGUAAACCAAUUAUGUGUACACUUCCUCACUAUUUCAAAAAGCCCCACCACAAAUAUAUUCAGAUUUAUUAAUACUAUAUUUUUUUCUUUUAGAACACAAUUCCUGCUACAAUAAUAUUCUAAAGAUUUUAAAGUAUUACAUAUUGUUUCAGUAAGAGGCACAAAAGUUAAUUAGAAUAUUAGCACUGUCCUUUAACUUUGAAAAUAAAACUC